GAUGAACGCUAGCGGCAGGCCUAACACAUGCAAGUCGAGGGGUAGAACACUUCGGUGUUUGAGACCGGCGCACGGGUGCGUAACGCGUAUGCAAUCUACCUUGUACAGGGGAAUAGCCCAGAGAAAUUUGGAUUAAUGCCCCAUAGUAUAUAACCUUCGCAUGUUGGUUAUAUUAAAGUUCCAACGGUACAAGAUGAGCAUGCGUCCCAUUAGUUAGUUGGUAAGGUAACGGCUUACCAAGACGAUGAUGGGUAGGGGUCCUGAGAGGGAGAUCCCCCACACUGGUACUGGGACACGGACCAGACUCCUACGGGAGGAAGCAGUGAGGAAUAUUGGUCAAUGGUCGCAAGACUGAACCAGCCAUGCCGCGUGCGGGAAGACGGUCCUAUGGAUUGUAAACUGCUUUUAUACAGGAAGAAACCCUCCCACGUGUGGGAGCUUGACGGUACUGUAGGAAUAAGGAUCGGCUAACUCCGUGCCAGCAGCCGCCGUAAUAC
rnacentral:rRNA from 1 species